rnacentral:lncRNA from 12 species
CAAAAACGGGACAAGUUUAAUGGUGAAGAGUAGGAACUUGUUCCCUGGGUUUGUGCUGGAGCAGGGAUGGAGAAGUUACCCAUGCUCAGUGGUCAAGAGAUGGCUUGAUCCUGAAAACACUGGCAGAGAGGGCUUGAGAGGAACUGGAGACAAGAAUUUAGUCACACUUCACUUGGAUUCCUCAGGAAUGUCUUUGUUUAGUUGAACACUACUGAUUCCAGUUGUGAUGAGGCAGAACCCAUACCUGAAUGGAACAAAAGCAGUCUCAACAGAAACCUGAAACAGGAUUUACAUUUUAUGGUUUUUGACCUUAUGGCUCCUAGGAAGAAUGAAUCAUGCUCCUGUGAGACAUGACCUAACCUCAUCUCUUCUUUGGCUGGAAGUGCAG